GAAAUGCGAUAAGUAGUGUGAAUUGCAGAAUUCAGUGAAUCAUCGAAUCUUUGAACGCACAUUGCGCCCCUUGGUAUUCCAUGGGGCAUGCCUGUUCGAGCGUCAUUUGUACCCUCAAGCUCUGCUUGGUGUUGGGUGUUUGUCCCGUCUCCGCGCGUGGACUCGCCCCAAAGUGAUUGGCAGCCGGCGUACUGGUCCCGGAGCGCAGCACAUGCCGCGCAAACGAGUGCCUUGGUACGGCGGCGUCCAUAAGCCCCUCUCUCACGCUCUUGACCUCGGAUCAGGUAGGGAUACCCGCUGAACUUAAGC
rnacentral:misc_RNA from 1 species